CCUACGGGCGGCUGCAGUGGGGAAUAUUGCACAAUGGGGGAAACCCUGAUGCAGCGACGCCGCGUGAGUGAAGAAGUAUUUCGGUAUGUAACGCUCUAUCAGCAGGGAAGAAAAUGACGGUACCUGACUAAGAAGCCCCGGCUAACUACGUGCCACCAGCCGCGGCAAUACGUAGGGGGCAAGCGUUAUCCGGAUUUACUGGGGGUAAAGGGAGCGUAGACGGCAGAGCAAGUCUGAAGUGAAAGCCCGCGGCCCAACUGCGGGACUGCUUUGGAAACUGCCCGGCUAGAUUGCGGGAGAGGGAAGCGGAAUUCCUAGUGUAGCGGUGGAAUGCGUAGAUAUUAGGAGGAACACCAGUGGCGAAGGCGGCUUACUGGACAGUAACUGACGUUGAGGCUCGAAAGCGUGGGGAGCGAACAGGAUUAGAUACCCCUGUAGUC
rnacentral:rRNA from 1 species